AGAGUUUGAUCCUGGCUCAGGAUGAACGCUGGCGGCGUGCCUAAUACAUGCAAGUCGAACGAAGAUCUAGCUUGCUAGAUCUUAGUGGCGAACGGGUGAGUAAUACAUAAAUAAUCUGCCCAUUGGACUGGGAUAACUAUUGGAAACGAUAGCUAAUACCGGAUAAGUGACCUGAAGAGAAAAGGUGGCCUCUUUACAAUGCUACCACUUACAGAUGAAUCCGCGUCCCAUUAGCUAGUUGGUGGGGUAAUGGCCUACCAAGGCGACGAUGGGUAGCCGGCCUGAGAGGGUGACCGGCCACACUGGAACUGAGACACGGUCCAGACUCCUACGGGAGGCAGCAGUGGGGAAUUUUCCGCAAUGGGCGAAAGCCUGACGGAGCAACGCCGCGUGAGUGAUGAAGGCCUUCGGGUUGUAAAGCUCUGUCAUUGGGGAAGAACAUUCAGGAUAGGAAAUGACGAAACAAAUGACGGUACCUUACGAGGAAGCCACGGCUAACUACGUGCCAGCAGCCGCGGUAAUACGUAGGUGGCAAGCGUUAUCCGGAAUUAUUGGGCGUAAAGGGAGCGUAGGCGGUUUGAUAAGUCUGAGGUGAAAGUUCGGGGCUCAACUCCGAAUUGCCUUAGAAACUGUCAGACUAGAGUGCAGGAGAGGGCAAUGGAAUUCCAUGUGUAGCGGUAAAAUGCGUAGAUAUAUGGAGGAACACCAGUGGCGAAGGCGGUUGCCUGGCCUGUAACUGACGCUGAGGCUCGAAAGCGUGGGGAGCAAAUAGGAUUAGAUACCCUAGUAGUCCACGCUGUAAACGAUGAUUACUAAGUGUUGGAGCAAUUCAGUGCUGCAGUUAACGCAAUAAGUAAUCCGCCUGGGGAGUACGGUCGCAAGUGUGAAACUCAAAGGAAUUGACGGGGGCCCGCACAAGCGGUGGAGUAUGUGGUUUAAUUCGAAGCAACGCGAAGAACCUUACCAAGUCUUGACAUACUCCUGCUGGAAACAGUGGGGUCAGUUCGGCUGGAUCGGAGACAGGUGCUGCAUGGCUGUCGUCAGCUCGUGUCGUGAGAUGUUGGGUUAAGUCCCGCAACGAGCGCAACCCUUGUCUUUAGUUACCAUCAUUCAGUUGGGGACUCUAGAGAGACUGCCGGUGACAAACCGGAGGAAGGUGGGGAUGACGUCAAAUCAUCAUGCCCCUUAUGACUUGGGCUACACACGUACUACAAUGGCGUAUACAGAGAGACGCGAAGUGGCGACAUGGAGCAAACCUCACAAAGUACGUCUCAGUUCAGAUUGGAGUCUGCAACUCGACUCCAUGAAGGCGGAAUCGCUAGUAAUCGCGGAUCAGCAUGCCGCGGUGAAUACGUUCUCGGGGUUUGUACACACAGCCCGUCA
rnacentral:rRNA from 1 species